UGGGGAAUCUUGGACAAUGGGGGCAACCCUGAUCCAGCCAUGCCGCGUGAGUGAUGAAGGCCUUAGGGUCGUAAAGCUCUUUCGCCUGUGAAGAUAAUGACGGUAGCAGGUAAAGAAACCCCGGCUAACUCCGUGCCAGCAGCCGCGGUAAUACGGAGGGGGUUAGCGUUGUUCGGAAUUACUGGGCGUAAAGCGCACGUAGGCGGACCAGAAAGUUGGGGGUGAAAUCCCGGGGGCUCAACCCCGGAACUGCCUCCAAAACUAUUGGUCUAGAGUUCGAGAGAGGUGAGUGGAAUUCCAAGUGUAGAGGUGAAAUUCGUAGAUAUUUGGAGGAACACCAGUGGCGAAGGCGGCUCACUGGCUCGAUACUGACGCUGAGGUGCGAAAAGUGUGGGGAGCAAAACAGGAUUAGAUACCCUGGUAGUCCACACCGUAAAACGAUGAAUGCCAGUCGUCGGGGUAGCAUGCUAUUCGGUGACACACCUAACGGAUUAAGCAUUCCGCCUGGGGAGUAC
rnacentral:rRNA from 1 species